ACGGCCUCAGAUCAGACGUGGUGACCUGCUGAAUUUAAGCAUAUUACUAAGCAGAGGAAAGGAAACUAACCAGGAUUUCCUCAGUAACAGCCAGUGAAAAGAGCCCAGUGCCGAAUCCCCAUUCAGCAGCAGGUGUGGGAAAUGUGGCGUACAGAAGACCGACUCCCCGGCAUCGCUCAGGGGGCUCAAGUCCUUCUGAUCGAGUCUCACCACGCGGAUGGUGUUAGGCCGAUAGCAGCCUCUUGCAAACCGGGAUCAGGUCUUCUUGGAGUCAGGUUGCUUGGGAAUACAUCCCAAAGCGUGUGGUAAUCUCUGUCUAAGGCUAAAUACGGGCACAAGACUGUUGGCCAACAAGUACCGUAAGGGGAAGUUGAAAAGAAGUUUGAAAAGAGUUCAAGAGGCGUGAAACGGUUGAGCGGUAAACUGGUGGGGUCUGUGCAGUCCGCCCACAGGAUUCAACACAGCAGGCAGGUUGGUCACCUGAAACGGUGGAGGCCCUUGCAGGUCUGCGGCCCGGGCACAUCCAGCCCAGCAGGGCGCAUUUCCUCUGUAGCGGUGCACCAUGACCGGCUGGGAAGGCCCCAGGGGGCAGGUGGCUCUCUGCUCCAGCAGAGAGUGUUACAGCCCCCUGACAGCAGUGUUGCUGUGUUCAUGGAGCUGAGGGAGAUAGACCGCCACCGCGCCCUUAUCCGGCAACUGUCCUGACCCCUCUUGGGGGGGGGGGUGGCUAGAGUGGUGACGGGAGACAGGGCUCCCAAUGUGACUGUGGUGGACUGCCCUCAAUACGCCCCGACCACAUCGUUCUGCCGGGCGGGGCCCGGGUGGAGCCGCUGCAGAUCUUGGUUGUAGUAGCAAAUAUUCAAACGAGAACUUUGAAGGAUGAAGUGGAGAAGAGUUUCAUGUGAACAGAAGCUGAACAUGGGUCAGUCGGUCCUAAGUGAUGGGCGAGCGCCGUUAGGAAGGGAUGGGCUAUGGCCUGCGUUGCCCUCAGCCGAUCGACAGGGAGUCGGGUUCAGAACCCCGAACCCAGAGUGGCAGGGACGGGGCCUUUGCAGCGUCCAGUGCGGUAACGCAAAUUAUCCCAGAGAAAGCCGGCGGGAGCCGCACAGAGAGUUCUUUUCUUUGUGUACGGCAGCGCCCCCUGGAAUGGGUUUGCCCGAAGAAAGGGGCCUGAGCCUUGGAAAGCGCUGCAGUUUCUAGCGGCAUCCGGUGAGCUCUUGCUGGUCCUUGAAAAUCUGGGUGAGAUGUUGUUAAUCUCGUGCCAGGCCGUACCAUAUCCGCGGCAUGUCUACAAGGCGGACAACCUCUGGCAUGUCUCAAGGAGUAUCCCCCCCCCCCUUCUCACCUGGGUCCGUUCUUUGCUGUAGUCUUCUUGCGGACGGACCUGGUCUUGAACAAGGCUCCCCGAGUCUCUUCCGACUCCAGAGUGCGUUCAGUUUCCGGGACGCGGGUCCAGGAAUCCAGGGAACUAGGAAAGGUGCAACUAGCACACGAGUCCAGGAAUUGGGAGGAAAGGAAGGGGCAAGUAACGGGUAGAUAGACAGGUACAAGGAAACAAUACCGCGAGCUACGGACACACGUCAGAUCGCUACUUUGCAAUAGCAUUGAGACGCGCGGAGCCGCGGUCUAUUAAUAGAAUACGUUACGUCCAGCGCGUGGAGCGAGAAAGGGGUUUCACGCUGGACAACCAUGUUGGGAGUAUUAUGGAGUGCAAGCCCCGUUGUGACAAGGACCAGGAAGUCCAAAAGGGACGUGUUCUGUAAUUCAUGACAGCAUGUCCGAACAAUGUAUGUACGGGAAGUCGGCAAGUUAUAUCGUAACUUCGGGAUAAGGAUUGGCUCCAAGGGCUGGGUCGGUCGGGCUGGGGCGCAAAGCAGGGCUGGGAGCGCUCCAUGGCUGGAUGAGGCGUCUUCCACGAAACCCCAGCCAAGGGAACAAGCCUGGCAGAAUCGUCGGGGAAAGAAGACCCGGUUGUGUUUGCCUCUAAUCUGGCACUGUAAAGAGACAUGAGAGGUAGGAUAAGUGGGAGGCCCUCGGGCCGCUGGUAAAAUACUGCUACUCUUAUUGUUUUUCCACUUAACUGGUGAGGCGGGGGCGAGCCCCGUGGGGCUCUCGCUUCUGGCUCCAAGCGCCCUGGAAACCUGCCGGGCAUGCCCCGCUCCGAGGACAGUGGCAGGUGGGGAGUUUGACUGGGGUGGUACACCUGUCAAAGGAUAACGCAGGUGUCCUAAGGCAAACUCAGGGAGGACAGAAACCUCCCGCGGAGCAGAAGGGCAAAAGCUACCUUGAUCUCGAUUUUUCAGUAUGAAUACAGACCGUAAAAGCGGGGCUUCACGAUCCUGCUGACAUUUUGGGUUUCAUGCAGGAGUUGUCAGAAAAGUUACCACAGGGAUAACUGGCUUGUGGCUGCCAAGCCUUCAUAGCGACGUCGCUUUUUGAUCCUUCGAUGUCGACUCUUCCUAUCAUUGUGAAACAGAAUUCACCAAGCAUCGGAUUGUUCACCCACUUAAUAGGGAACGUGAGGUGGAUUUAGACCGUCGUGAGACAGGUUAGUUUUACCCUACUGAUGAUGUGUUGUUGCAAUAGUAAUCCUGCUCAGUACGAGAGGAACCGCAGGUUCAGACAUUUGGUGUGCAUGCUUCGCUGAGGAGCCAAUGGGGUGAAGAUACCAUCUGUGAGAUUAUGACUGAAUGCCUCUAAGUCAGAAAUCCCCCCCCCCCCAAGACCGUGAUACUGCAUCGCUGUCAAGCAUCGGUUGGCUUAGGCUAGCCGGCCUCGGGGCCGAUGUGUAGAGCCACUCGCCUUGGGACUUGAGUGUGGACAGAAGGGGGCCACCUCUCACCCGUAGUGCACCGCAUGUUCGUGGGGAAUCUGGGCUAAAUCAUUUGUAGACAACCUGAUUCUGGUUCAGGGUUUCGUAAGUAGCAGAGCAGCUACCUUGCUGCGAUCUAUUGGAAGUCAUCCUCUGAGCCAAGCUU
rnacentral:rRNA from 1 species